AGAUUGAACGCUGGCGGCAUGCCUAACACAUGCAAGUCGAACGGGAGUAGCAAUACUCUAGUGGCGGACGGGUGAGGAAUACGUAGGAAUUUGCCCUUAAGUGGGGGAUAACCCGGGGAAACCCGGAUUAAUAACCGCAUGACCUCGAAAGAGCAAAGUGGGGGAUCGCAAGACCUCACGCUUUUGGAGAAGCCUACGUCGGAUUAGCUAGUUGGUGAGGUAAUGGCUCGACCAAGGCGACGAUCCGUAACUGGUCUGAGAGGAUGAUCAGUCACACCGGAACUGAGACACGGUCCGGACUCCUACGGGAGGCAGCAGUGGGGAAUAGUUGGACAAUGGGCGCGAAGGCCUAGGAUCCAGCAAUGCCGCGUGUGUGAAGAAGGCCUUGGUUGUAAGUCACGUUUAACGUU
rnacentral:rRNA from 1 species